CAUCUUCUUGUAUUUGAUCUUAGUUUAAUUGCUUGUCUUUUCUUUUCAGCAUUUAUACCUCGCCCUUCUCGCCCUGAAGGGGACUCAAAGCAGCUUUACAGAACACACACACAUGGCAAACACUCAGUGCCUGAUUAUACAAUCAACAAGGACAGACAACACAGACAGAGACCCAUAACCCGGACGCUUCCCUGAGCAGAGAAGGCCUUCGUGCAGAGGAGGAGAGAGGCCCCAGGGAGGGAGUGGCGGAGGCCCUGCAGAAGAAGCUCCAGGCCGGAGCGGAGGAGGAGGAGGAGGACCAGCAGGUGCAGGAAGGUGAGGUGGGCUUGGGAGUGGAAUGGGUAUGUUUAGCUUUGAGGGAAAGACAGGCCGAGGGGACGGGAGAGCCAAUAUGUGGAAGGAUGUCUCAUUGAGGAGAAAAGGGCAAGUAUUUCCUACUUCUCUGGAGACUGAAAUACAAAGCCAUUGAUUCGCAUUGUGGGAAAGAUGCUUCCACCUAAACAUUAGGAACCAUUUCCUGCUGGUAACGGCUGUUCAGCCGUGGAAGCCUUGUCCCUUCUCAGGAGCCUCCCUUCCCAAGCCCUGGCCUUCCACCUCUUGGGGACUCCAUGUCCCAGAAUCCCUGAUCUUGGGUCAAGGCAGCUGAGACUUCUGGGUGUUGAAGUCCCAAGAAAUCCCAGAGGAAUCGAGUUUGGGAAUCCCUGCUCCAGAGAGCGGAGGGAAUAAUGAUAAUAAUAGUAAUAGUAAUAACUAUUUCUGACCCUCCCUCUAUCCCCGAAGGGAAUGGCUCUCUUGGACUACAAUGCCCAGAAACCCUACAAAACGUCCUGGCAUGAGGGUUGGAGGAACCUGGGAGUUGUAUUCCAAGACAAAUAUCUCACAAGUCCUUGAGGAAGAGGAGGGGGAGGGGGAGGCGGCAGCCUUGGCCUAGGACUGAGACACGAGGAAUCCCAGAAGUCAGAGGGUUGGAAGGGACCCCAAGGGCCACCCAGCCGCACCCCCUUCUGCCAGGCAGGGAAACACAACCCAAGCCCUCC
rnacentral:lncRNA from 11 species